UACGUAGGGGGCUAGCGUUGUCCGGAAUCAUUGGGCGUAAAGCGCGUGUAGGCGGUCCGGUAAGUCCGCUGUGAAAGUCGAAGGCUCAACCUCGAAUGCCGGUGGAUACUGUCGGGCUAGAGUGCGGAAGAGGCGAGUGGAAUUCCUGGGUGUAGCGGUGAAAUGCGCAGAUAAUCGGGGAGGAACACCAAUUGGCGAAGGCAGCUCGCUGGGACGUUACUGACGGCUGAGACGGCGAAAGCGUGGGGAGCAACA
rnacentral:rRNA from 1 species